rnacentral:rRNA from 1 species
UACGUAGGGUGCAAGCGUUAAUCGGGAUUACUGGGCGUAAAGGGCGCGUAGGCGGCUUAACAAGUCACUUGUGAAAUCUCCGGGCUUAACUCGGAACGGCCAAGUGAAACUGUCAAGCUAGAGUGCAGAAGGGGCAAUCGGAAUUCUUGGUGUAGCGGUGAAAUGCGUAGAUAUCAAGAGGAACACCUGAGGUGAAGACGGGUUGCUGGGCUGACACUGACGCUGAGGCGCGAAAGCCAGGGGAGCAAACGGG